rnacentral:lncRNA from 1 species
GAAGCACAGCCUCCAGAGCACUGUUACUGAGACCAAGCAUGCACUUAAUCUGAAAUAGCCUGACAAUGAAUGAGACCUUAGUAGCCUCCUUGCAACCUGAAUAUAGUUCUUUCUGUGCCUCAGUUAAUAACUUAAAGAAUUUCUUAGCGCAUUCAUUUGGCUCUUCAGUUCGGAUUUCACCACGUAUUGCACCACUGAUUAGUGAGGAAACCAAAUCAUUCAUAGACGGACCAUCCCCUGAUUCACAAUCAUUGCCAACUCCUUCAGUGAUGCUCGCAUAUGAAUCCUUUUCUUCUC